AGCCUUUGUUUAAUUGACUUAGAUUGGCUGUCUGCGUGAGCUCGUGAGGAGAGGAAGAAGAAGAGGGGAGGAUGAAGAGAAGAGACGUCUCGUAAACGGUUGACCUGGGGGAGGAGAGCAGUGAGAAGGGAACUGUAAAAGAUGGAAGUGGUCAAGGGUGAAUGAAAUGGGGUCAUGAGAUAAGACUUGAAGAUGUUAAAGUUAAGAGGAGGGAUUCAUACAAGGAUGGCGCCUGAUAAUGCACCAAAAUAAAUGUGACGUGACAUUGUAGAUGUGGCCGUGGUUCAGAUCCUACAACAGGCUCAAGUUAUAUCCUCUUCCAUUCAUCCGGUCUCCUUCCUCACCUGUCUGCGGGUCAUUUGCGACUUAUUUAAAACUUACUUUCUAGUGAAACAAAGAUUCUGCAGCCCCUUAAGUAUCAAGCCAAAGCCUGCUUAACCAUCAAUCCUUUUAUUUCCCAUCCUGAAUAUAAAUUAGUUUCCUCAUGUUUCAUUCCUUCAGUCUCUCUCUCAUUUUAUGUUUUUCGUCUCUUCUCAAACCAUGCCCACACAUGAAACCCUCAGUUCUGUUCAGGGACAGCGGGACACACCUUGCUUGACUUUCAAGUUGUCAUUCUUCAGUGUGUGUUUGUGUGUGUGUGUGCACGCGCGUGUGUGUACUUUCGCUACAUUUGGGUUUUUGCCAUCUUUUAAAAUGUAAAUGUGCAUAAAAAAAACUUGGAAACUUCUAAAGCCUGUUUGCUGUACCUCAUUAUGAAGAGGAUUAUUUUUAGAGUCAGGGACCAGCAAUUAUUUGUGUGUCUGCUCCGGUAGUACAUGCGCUUAAUUGUUGUCCCACACCGGCAGCAGAGAGGAGAGCUCAGCUCAAUUUGUGUCUGUGGGUUUUAUUUUCUCUCUCUUUCUCUCUCUUUUUCUUUUUUUUUUUUUUAAAUGGGCAGCAUCCAUGCUGUGCUUCCUCUUGUUAAACAUCAGCAGUCCAUCAGCAACACAAAUAACACUGGGAUGUGGAUGCAGAUACACACAGACAUUUUAUUCUCUCCAUUGUCUCAUCUCCUGCAAACAAAACAAAACAGAAACUCGACCCACUGUUGUAAAUUACUGUUGUAGUAAACUAUAAUUUAUUUCCUAACACUGACUGCAUGAUUCCCAGAAAAAUGUCAAAUAUACUGUAGCGGUGGAGCAACCGUUUUUAAAUAACAAUGACCUUCAUUGCAUUUUCACACUAUCUUAAAGGAAGAGUUGUACAUUUUUUGGUAACACGUGUAUUCACUAUCUUGUGUCUGAGAGCAGCAAAUAUGAAGUUGCCUUGUUCACUUAGCUUAGGCUCAGUGAAAUAAUAACAAAAU